rfam:Triticum aestivum genome assembly, contig: Triticum_aestivum_CS42_TGACv1_scaffold_433975_5DL
UGAAUACUCCCUCCAUCCAAAAAUACUUGUCGGAGAAAUGAACGUAUCUGAUGUAUUUUAGUUUUAGAUACAUCCAUUUUCAUCAAUUUCUGCAACAAGUAAUUCCGGACGGAGAGAGUACCUG